rnacentral:misc_RNA from 1 species
UCCGAUUUGUCACCGGCAGUCUCCCAUGAGUCCCCGUCCUUCACGCUGGCAACUAAGGACAAGGGUUGCGCUCGUUGCGGGACUUAACCCAACAUCUCACGACACGAGCUGACGACAGCCACGCACCACCUGUGCACUGGCCCCGAAGGGCUGCCGUAUUUCUACGGCAUUCCAGUGCAUGUCAAGCCUUGGUAAGGUUCUUCGCGUUGCGUCGAAUUGAACCACAUGCUCCACCGCUUGUGCGGGCCCCCGUCAAUUCCUUUGAGUUUUAAUCUUGCGACCGUACUCCCCAGGCGGGAUGCUUAAUGCGUUAGCUGCGCCACUGAAGGGUAAACCCACCAACGGCUAGCAUUCAUCGUUUACGGCGUGGACUAC